UACGUAGGGUGCAAGCGUUGUCCGGAAUUAUUGGGCGUAAAGAGCUCGUAGGCGGUCUGUCGCGUCGGCUGUGAAAACUCGGGGCUCAACUCCGAGCUUGCAGUCGAUACGGGCUAGGCUAGAGUGCGGCAGGGGAGACUGGAAUUCCUGGUGUAGCGGAAAUGCGCAGUGUAAUCAGGAGGAACACCGGUGGCGAAAGGCGG
rnacentral:rRNA from 1 species